GAGAAUUGUACCAAAAACAAUAUGGACAAUCCAUCCAUAUCCCACCUUGUGUGCACCCAUUGAAACCAUGCUUUGGGAGGUUUCUCCUCUGUUGGAAUUGGAGAUACUCAAGCCUCCCAAGGUUUUUGUUCUCGCAACACUUUUUUUUUUUCCUGAAAAAUCAAACAUAAUAAUAAUAAAUA
rnacentral:misc_RNA from 1 species